rnacentral:rRNA from 1 species
CCUACGGGAGGCAGCAGUGGGGAAUUUUGGACAAUGGACGCAAGUCUGAUCCAGCCAUUCCGCGUGCAGGACGAAGGCCUUCGGGUUGUAAACUGCUUUUGUACGGAACGAAAAAGCUCCUAUUAAUACUAGGAGUCCAUGACGGUACCGUAAGAAUAAGCACCGGCUAACUACGUGCCAGCAGCCGCGGUAAUACGUAGGGUGCAAGCGUUAAUCGGAAUUACUGGGCGUAAAGCGUGCGCAGGCGGUUAUAUAAGACAGAUGUGAAAUCCCCGAGCUUAACUUGGGAACUGCAUUUGUGACUGUAUAGCUAGAGUACGGUAGAGGGGGAUGGAAUUCCGCGUGUAGCAGUGAAAUGCGUAGAUAUGCGGAGGAACACCGAUGGCGAAGGCAAUCCCCUGGGCCCUGUACGUGACGCUCAUGCAACGAAGCGGUGGGGAGACAAACGAGGUAUUAGACUACCCGUAGGUACGUCCGACCGUACCCGUAAACGAUCGUACAACGUUGGUUGGUUGGUUCUUACACUGACUCAGUAACGAGCUAACGCGUAGAAGUUCGACCGCCGUGGGGAGUACCGGCCGACGUAGGUUAGAACUACGAAAUAGUAAGUUGACCGGUCGNGAGACGUACGACGACGACGACGACGGAGGGAGGAGG